GAAGUCACGGUUGAGGUUUUGAAUAAUAAGUUUUGGUUGUAAUGAGAAGUAAGAGUGGGAUAGAAGAGAAGAAAAUAGAGUGCAGAAAAUUGAGAGAGCCGAAGAGAAGAGAGGGAGAGAAAGAAGGUACUGCUACAGUACCAUUUUCAGAGAAGGGGUUGUUGUUCCUUUCAUUGGAUAAUUCUCACUCCAUCAAAGUGUUAUUGUUGUAAUAGCUUUGAGCUUUGAUAGAGAAGAAAUUAAUCACUAUAUUUCUUUCUCUAUUUGUUUCUUUAGAGUGUGAGUUAUUGGGUUAUUUGGGUUGUGAGAUUGCCAACACUUUGUAAACUCCCAUUUGGUUGAUAGUGGAUUCUUGGGUGAGCUCCUACUGCUCCGAGGACGUACUCCAGUUACACUGACUGUUGAGGAACCUCGUUAAAAUCUUGGUGUCUUUAAUAUUUUGUUCUUGCAUUUUAUUUGAUAUAUUUCCUGUGGGUUAGCUUGAGUUGGUUCCACAAGGGUUUGGUGCUAUCCUAGCACAACAAUUGGUAUCAGAGCACUGGUUGCUCUUGGGUACUGUCUAGUUGCCAAAGAUGUCAGACGGGCAAGAUGAAAAUCCUUUUGGAAGCAGCUCCGGGUUUGCAAGAACUUACGGUGCAAAAUGCAAAGUUCGAAGUGGAAAAGUUUGAUGGCACAAACAACUUCGGGAUGUGGCAAUGUGAGGUCAAAGAUGUGUUGGCUCAACAAGAUCUACUUGCCGCGUUGGGAGAGAAGCCGGAAACUAUGUCGAAGCCGGAAUGGGAAAAAUUAAAUUUGUGGGCUUGCUCUUUCAAUUCGGUUGUGCCUUGCAAAAACUCAGAAGUAUUUUGUGAUGCGGGAGACGGUAGCAAGUGUGUUGUGGCAAAAAUUGGAAGACAAGUAUAUGACAAAGAGUGCAGAGAACCGACUACACUUGAAGAAAAAGCUCUACCGCUUCCAAUACAAAGAAGGUACAAAAAUGAUUAGACACCUUGAUGCUUUUAAUAAGUUGAUUGCCGACUUGUUAAAUUUAGAUGAGGAUAUUAAGGAUGAAGAUAAGGCCUUAAUAUUGUUGAAUUCCUUGCCGGACUCUUAUGAGCAUUUUGUUACAACUAUUAUGCAUGGUAAAGAAACUGUGAAAUUUGAAGAUGUGUCAAAUGCCUUGAUGAAUUAUGAAAUGAGGCAUAGAGAUAAAAAUCAUGAUAGUACCUCUGAAGCUUUAUUUGUUAGAGGUAGAUCAUCGGAGAGGAGGUCAUCUUCUAGCAGGAAAAAAUCACAGUCUCGACCUAGGGGAAACUCUAAAGGUAGAAAACCUUUGGAAAGGGAUGAAUGUGCCUUUUGUCAUAAUAAGGGUCAUUGGAAGAAAGAUUGUCCAAAAUUGAAGACCAAAGGCAAAGAAAGUUCUGAAGCUAAUGUUGCUGAGGUUGAAACAGAUUUUUUCUGAUUUUGCUUUAACCACUUCCUCAUCAUUUGAUUGUGUUACUAAGUGGGUGUUGGAUACGGGUUGUACUCAUCAUAUGACUCCUCACAAGGAUUGGUUUUCAAGCUUGAAAGAGUUUGAUGGUGGCGUUGUGUUCAUGGGAGAUGACAAUCCUUGCACAACAAAAGGGAUUGGUACAGUUCGUUUGAAGUUGCAUGAUGGCAUGGUUAAAGAGUUGACAGGUGUUCGGUAUGUACCGAAUUUGAAGAAAAAUCUUAUUUCUUUGGGUACUUUGGAAUCUAAGGGUUUCAGGUUUCAUUCAGAUGGACAGACAUUGAAAGUUACUUAUGGUGCACUUGUUGUGAUGAAAGCUCCUAGAUGUGGCCAUUUGUAUUUAUUGAAGGGAAGCACUGUGACAGGUGAAGCAUCUGUAGUAUCUGAAAAUAUGGGCACAUCUGAUUCAGAUACUACUAAAUUGUGGCAUAUGAGAUUAGGCCAUGCCGGUGAGAAAGCUCUACAAGGGCUUGUGAAACAAGGUCUUCUAAAAGGUGCCACGACUUGUAAGCUUGAUUUCUGCGAGCAUUGUGUCUUGGGGAAGCAAACUAGAGUGAAAUUUGGUACUGCUGUACAUCAGACGAAGGGCAUUCUUGAUUAUGUGCAUUCGGAUGUUUGGGGUCCUACAAAGACUCAUUCUUUGAGUGGUAGACAUUGGUUCGUGACCUUUGUUGAUGAUUAUUCAAGAAGGUCUUGGGUCUACACUAUGAAGCAUAAGAGUGAGAUGUUAAGCAUUUUCUUGGGUUGGAAGAAAAUGGUUGAGAACCAGACUGGGAGAAAGAUUAAGAUUUUGAGAUCGGAUAAUGGUGGUGAAUACACAUCCGAUCCUUUCUUUAAAGUUUGCAAAGAGGAAGGAAUUGUGAGACAUUUCAGUGUUCGGGGAACUCCACAACAAAAUGGAGUUGCAGAAAGAUUGAAUCGAACCUUGCUUGAGAAGGUUAGAUGUAUGUUGUCUCAGUCGGGUUUAAGCAAGUCAUUUUAGGCAGAGGCAGUUAAUUAUGCAUGUCACAUCAUCAACCGGUUACCCUCAGCUGCUAUUCAGGGUAAGACACCAAUGGAGGUAUGGACUGGAAAACCUUCUUCUGAUUAUGAUCAUAUUCGUAUUUUUGGUUCACCUGCUUAUUUUCAUGUAACUGAAAAUAAACUUGAUCCUAGAGCCAAAAAGGCUAUCUUUCUUGGUUUUAGUAGUGGUGUCAAAGGUUACAGGUUGUGGUGUCCAGAGAUGAAGAAACUGGUAAUUAGUAGAGAUGUGACAUUUGACGAAGAAAGUAUGUACAAAGUCUCUGAGAAGAAUGUGAAAGAUGUCCAACAGGUGGAGCUUGAGAAAGUUGCUUCUGGUACUUCAAAUCCUAUUUCCACUGAUGUCGAAGCCACUACAAGUGAAGAAGUUGGAGACCAUGAGGAUGUUGAAGAAGUUGAACUUGAAGAUUCUAUUCAAGUUGAAGAGCAAGUUUCACCUCAAGAGUCUAUUGCCAAGAACAGAGGAAAGAGACAAAUUACUAAGCCAGCUCGGUAUAGUGAUUAUGUUGCUUUUGCUCUUCCUAUUAUCACUGAAGAGAUUCCAUCCAAUUUUGAGGAAGCUAUUGAGAGUGAGGAGAAGAAUAGGUGGUGCAAUGCCAUGGGUGAUGAGAUGAAUUCUCUCUCUUGAAGAACAAGACUUGGGAGUUAGCUAAAUUGCCUAAGGGCAAGAAAGCUAUUGGUUGCAAAUGGGUGUAUGCCAAGAAGGAAGAUGCUGAUGAGAAAAGCAAUGUGAGAUUUAAAGCAAGAUUAGUUGCUAAAGGGUAUGCACAAAAGGAGGGCAUUGACUACAAUGAAAUCUUUUCUCCGGUUGUGAAGCACUCCUCAAUUCGCAUUAUGUUAGCUCUUGUUGCACAGUAUGAUCUUGAGCUUGUGCAACUUGAUGUAAAAAACGGCUUUCCUACAUGGUGAUUUGAAUGAAGAGAUUUAUAUGUGUCAACCAGAUGGGUAUAUAGUGAAAGGGAAGGAGAAUUUGUUUUGCAAAUUGAAGAAAUCACUUUAUGGCUUGAAGCAAUCUCCAAGGCAAUGGUAUUUGAGGUUUGAUAAAUUUAUGAGAGGCCAAAAUUAUUCUAGAAGUCAAUAUGAUCAUUGUGUGUACUUCAAGAAGUUGCAAGAUGGGUCUUUCAUUUAUUUAUUGAUAUAUGUUGAUGAUAUGUUGAUUGCCUCAAAGAAUGUCGAAGAGAUUGAGAGAAAUUGAAGAAGCAAAUGAAGAAUGAGUUUGAGAUGAAGGAUCUUGGUGAAGCGAAGAAGAUCCUUGGCAUGGAGAUCACUAGAGAUAGAGCAAAGGGUUUCGUCAGUUUGAAUCAAAAACAAUACCUUGAGAAGUUGAUUCGGAAGUUUGGAGUUCAUGAUUCAACCAAACCGGUUAGUACCCCUUUGGCUCCUCAUUUUAAAUUGAGUUCUCUACAAUGUCCUAAAACUGAUAAAGAGAAACUGCAAAUGAAAAAUAUACCAUAUGCAAAUUUGGUUGGUAGUUUGAUGUAUGCAAUGGUAUGCUCUAGACCGGAUAUUGCUCAUGCAGUUGGCAUGGUGAGUCGAUAUAUGCAUAAUCCAGGUAAAGAGCAUUGGCAAGCAGCUAAGUGGAUAUUGAGGUAUCUCCAUGGUACUCGAGAUGUUGGUUUAUGCUUUGAGAGGGAUGACUCUGGUAUUGGUCAUUUUGCAGUUGGUUAUGUUGAUUCAGAUUAUGCAGGUGAUCUGGAUGGAAGGAAGUCUACUACAGGCUAUGUGUUUACUAUGGCUAAAGGGCCAGUUUGUUGGAGGUCCAUUUUGCAGUCGUCUGUUGCCUUGUCUACUACAGAGGCUGAAUAUAUGGCAGUUGCUGAAGCUAUAAAGGAGGCCAUUUGGAUACAUGGGCUUAUUAGAGAUUUGGGGGUUGAUCAGAAGCAGGUGGAGGUACAUUGUGAUAGUCAGAGUGCCAUUUAUUUGGCUAAGUAUCAGGUUCAUCAUGCGAGGACCAAGCACAUAGAUGUGCGUUAUCACUUUGUUCGUGAAAUUGUUGGUGAAGGGGAAAUCAUUCUCCAAAAGAUUCCAACUAAAGACAACCCCGCUGAUAUGUUGACUAAGGUUGUUGGUGUAGCCAAGUUUGUUCACUGUUUGAACUUGGCUCACAUUUUGCCUAUAUAAAGAAGGCGUUGAGUAGUAGGAGUUUUGGAGCAUUUGGCUCAGCAUGAGUUGUUCUCUUGCUAGUGUUUGGGAGUGAUGUUGUGUGCUAAUUGUGUUGGUUGGCUUAUCAUGGCGUUUUCGGAACUUGGCCAAGGUGGAGAUUGUUGGAUUAUGUGGCCAAGUGGCCAUAUACUUUAGAUUAAACAAACCAAAGGUGGACAACACCUUUCCUUGUUUUGGGGAGGAAAAUAGGGAAAAGGUUUUUUUGUCUUGGUCCAUGGGAAGUCACGGUUGAGGUUUUGAAUAAUAAGUUUUGGUUGUAAUGAGAAGUAAGAGUGGGAUAGAAGAGAGAGAAAAUAGAGUGCAGAAAAUUGAGAGAGCCGAAGAGAAGAGAGGGAGAGAAAGAAGGUACUGCUACAGUACCAUUUUCAGAGAAGGGGUUGUUGUUCCUUUCAUUGGAUAAUUCUCACUCCAUCAAAGUGUUAUUGUUGUAAUAGCUUUGAGCUUUGUAUAGAGAAGAAAUUAAUCACUAUAUUUCUUUCUCUAUUUGUUUCUUUAGAGUGUGAGUUAUUGGGUUAUUUGGGUUGUGAGAUUGCCAACACUUUGUAAACUCCCAUUUGGUUGAUAGUGGAUUCUUGGGUGAGCUCCUACUGCUCCGAGGACGUACUCCAGUUACACUGACUGUUGAGGAACCUCGUUAAAAUCUUGGUGUC
rnacentral:lncRNA from 1 species